GCCACCAAGCUUUUGGCAGAAGGUGAAUGAGGUGUGGAAGCGUAUCUCAUGGAAGUCCGUUUCCACACUUGUACUGCUUAUUGGGUGCACAGUUGUCGGAUAUUUUGCAAACAAAGAGGUCCCAUGGGCAUUGUUCAUCGUCGACGUACUAGACAAGGGGAACAAAACAUACAAACCCACUCUGGAGUUUGCAGUUCUACUAGUAGCAGUUAUCAUUUCUUUGUCCUCGAAGUAGAUGCAGAACAUUAGAUGUACCCGACAAGGCGAGCAAUGCUUUAAAAUCUGUUUUGGUAUUUGCAUCCCUAUUCAUGGCAAUCACAAUUUUUGAGUGUCCCCGAGGUAGUUACAGAGAUUGAGACGCAUAUGUUUUUUCAUUGGAAAGUUUACUCAUAAUAUUUCAGGAUCCUCGAGGUAUGAGACAAUCAGCCAGCUUAAACAUUCUUUCCAUAUUUGUAUCAGUCACGGGGUUUGAACAUAGCUUCGCCAAAUCUUUACUCAUAUAGGAGUUUGUUUAAAUAUUGCAGGUAGUUACAGACAUUGAGACGCGUGUUUUUUCAUUAUCACAAUGUACUGGACAAGGUGACAACCCUUAAAAAUGCAUUUUGGGAUGCAACUUUCGUAAUAGGGAUUAUCAAUUCUCCAUUCUUAGGUAGUUGGAGAAUGUUAUUCUUGGAUAUAUGUUACAGAGAGUAGAAUGGACGUGAUACAGUUGUUAGACAGAUAUACUUUCUAUGUCUUAGUCAUGUUAUAUAGCCAUCGUAUAAGGGGUUUUCUACGUCUUUACCUUUGUACCUGUAUAUACAUAUCGACUUCAUGGAAAUACCAGUUGCAUAUUUCCUAACAUUGUAUCAGAUCAGUUUCUUUCCUGAUAUAAAUGCCGUAAC